rnacentral:tRNA from 16 species
GUCCCCAUCGUCUAGCGGUCAGGACAUCGCCCUUUCAAGGCGACGACACGAGUUCGAGUCUCGUUGGGGGCACCA